CGGUAAACAGAGGGAAGCGAGCCCGCGAGGGGGAGCGAAUCCCAAAAAUAACGUCCCAGUUCGGAUUGUAGUCUGCAACCCGACUACAUGAAGCCGGAAUCGCUAGUAAUCGCGGAUCAGAAUGCCGCGGUGAAUACGUUCCCGGGUCUUGUACACACCGCCCGUCACACCAUGGGAGUCGGAAAUGCCCGAAGUCUGUGACCCAACCGCAAGGAGGGAGCAGCCGAAGGCAGGUCGGAUGACUGGGGUGAAGUCGUAACAAGGUAUC
rnacentral:rRNA from 1 species